rnacentral:rRNA from 1 species
AUGGACUGUAGCCUCCUGAACUUGGGUUUUUCGGGCCCGAAGUUCACCUGGUGCAAUCAACAGGACCCAAACAACCAUGUUCGGUGCCGGCUUGAUCGCGCCAUGGCCAAUAAUGAUUUCUCCAAUAUGUUUGUUGCAUGUGAUGUUGAGAAUGUCAUCGCCACAUCUUCUGACCACUACCCCAUUCAUGUCUGCCUGGACCGCGGCUCUCGGCAACGUCGUGUGUCUCCGGUUCAGCAAGGGUUCAGGUUUGAGGCGAUGUGGCUGAGAGCCACGGACUACGAAGACACUCUGGAGCAUGCUAGGUCGGCGCGUAGAGAUGGGCUACCGUCUCUUCAGUCAACCUGGGCUAAUUUGAAGAAUCUGGCCACCUCCCUGCGGACUUGGAGCAAGGAGGAUUUUGGGUCUGUUCGCAAGAAGAUCGGGCAGCUGGAACAUCGCCUGGCCACUAUCAGGGCCUCCCCGCCCUCCCCGCAUGCUUUGGUGGAAGAACAUCAGAUCGAGAGUUCGCUUUGUGAGCUCUUCGAACGGGAGGAGAUCAUGGAGAGACAACACUCCCAGGUGGAUUGGCCCAAGGAUGGGGACCGGAACACCGGGUUUUUCCAAGCUAGGGCGACAGCCAGAAGGAGAACCAACCGGAUUCACUCACUCACUCGGGAUGAUGGUUCGGUUUGCUCCUCUCAGGGUGAGAUCAAAGGUAUGGUGUGGUCCUUCUAUGACAAGCUAUUCACUUCGGAUCCUUGUCCGGACGCCGAGGAGGUCUUGCAUGUGAUCCCGCCCAAGGUUACUCCUGCGAUGAAC